rnacentral:rRNA from 1 species
GAUGAACGCUGGCGGCGUGCUUAACACAUGCAAGUCGAACGAUGAAGCCCAGCUUGCUGGGUGGAUUAGUGGCGAACGGGUGAGUAACACGUGAGUAACCUGCCCUUAACUCUGGGAUAAGCCUGGGAAACUGGGUCUAAUACCGGAUAGGAGCGUCCACCGCAUGGUGGGUGUUGGAAAGAUUUAUCGGUUUUGGAUGGACUCGCGGCCUAUCAGCUUGUUGGUGAGGUAAUGGCUCACCAAGGCGACGACGGGUAGCCGGCCUGAGAGGGUGACCGGCCAACCAGGGACCGAGGAGAGGCCCCAGCUCCUAAGGGAGGGCGCAGUGGGGAAGAUUGCACAAUGGGCGCAAAGCUGGUGCAGCGGCGCCGCGGGGGGGAAUACGGCCUUCGGGGUGUAAACCUCUUUCAGUAGGGAAGAAGCGAAAGUGACGGUACCUGCAGAAGAAGCACCGGCUAACUACGUG